CCGUUGACUCUCAUAUCGUCAAGCUGAAAUCGCUCAACGCGGAUGUGCUCGUGAUCUUCACGACACCGAAAUUCGGCGCACAGACCAUCAAGAAGGUCGGCGAACUCGGCUGGAAGCCCACCAUGAUCAUCGCCAACGUCAGUGCUUCGACGGCAACGGUGAUGAAACCUGCAGGUUUCGAUAACGCCCAGGGCGUCAUUUCCGCAGCCUA
rnacentral:misc_RNA from 1 species